rnacentral:rRNA from 1 species
ACUCCUAACGGGGAGGCAGCAGUGAGGAGUUUUCGACCAUUGGCCGAAGGCCUGAUCCAGGCGACGGCGGCGUGAGGAACGAAGCCUUCGGGGUGUAAAACUCUGUGUGAGGGACGAAUAAGAUCUGGAGGGAAAUGCCAGAUCGAUGACGGUACCUCACGAGAAAGCCCCGGGCUAACUACGUGCCAGCAGCCGCGGUAAUACGUAGGGGGCGAGCGUUACCCGGAUUCACUGGGCGUAAAGGGGGCGCAGGCGAUCCAGUAUGUCGGGUGUGAAAUCCCACAGCUCAACUGUGGAAUUGCGCCCGAAACUACUGGGUUUGGGGCUGGUAGAGGGAGACGGAACUGCUGGUGUAGGGGUGAAAUCCGUAGAUAUCAGCAGGAACGCCGGUGGGGAAGCCGGUCUCCUGGGCCAAGCCCGACGCUGAGGCCCGAAAGCUAGGGGAGCAAACCGGAUUAGAUACCCGGGUAGUCCUAGCCGUAAACGAUGCCCACUAGGUGUGGGGGAGUCAUUCCUCCGUGCUGUAGCUAACGCGUUAAGUGGGCCGCCUGGGGAGUACGCCCGCAAGGGUGAAACUCAAAGGAAUUGGCGGGACCCCGCACAAGCGGUGGAGCGUGUGGUUUAAUUGGAUGCUAAGCCAAGAACCUUACCAGGGCUUGACAUGCAGGUGGUACCAGCCCGAAAGGGAAGGGACCCUUUCCUUUUGGAAAGGGAGCCUGCACAGGUGGUGCACGGCCGUCGUCAGCUCGUGCCGUGAGGUGUUGGGUUAAGUCCCGCAACGAGCGCAACCCCUGCCCUUAGUUGCCAGCGGUUCGGCCGGGCACUCUAAGGGGACCGCCGGCGACGAGCCGGAGGAAGGAGGGGACGACGUCAGGUACUCGUGCCCUUUAUGCCCUGGGCUACACACGCGCUACAAUGGGUGGUACAGUGGGUCGCGACCUCGCGAGAGGGAGCCAAUCCCCAAAACCAUCCUCAGUUCAGAUCGCAGGCUGCAACCCGCCUGCGUGAAGCCGGAAUCGCUAGUAAUCGCGGAUCAGCCAUGCCGCGGUGAAUACGUUCCCGGGGUU